UACGGGAGGUGCAAGCGUUGUUCGGAGUGACUGGGCGUAAAGCGCACGUAGGCGGGUUUGUAAGUCGGAUGUGAAAUCCCUAGGCUUAACCUGGGAACUGCAUCCGAAACUAUAAAUCUUGAAUACCUCAGAGGUUGGUAGAAUUCCUGGUGUAGGAGUGAAAUCCGUAGAUAUCAGGAGGAAUACCGGAGGCGAAGGCGGCCGACUGGGAGAGUAUUGACGCUGAGGUGCGAAAGCGUGGGGAGCGAACAGG
rnacentral:rRNA from 1 species